rnacentral:rRNA from 1 species
UACGACUACAUAUCAGGCAUAUCAAUAAGCGGAGGAAAAGAAACUAACAAGGAUUCCCUUAGUAACGGCGAGUGAAGCGGGAAGAGCUCAAAUUUGAAAUCUUCAAGGGUUUACCUUGUACGAAUUGUAGUUUAAAGAAGUGUUUUCUGUUGGAGUUUUGGUAAAAGUUCUUUGGAAUAGGACAUCAUAGAGGGUGAGAAUCCCGUAUUUGACCAGUUACUUUCAGCUGUGUGAUACACUUUCAAAGAGUCGGAUUGUUUGGGAAUGCAGUCCAAGAUGGGUGGUAAAUUUCAUCUAAAGCUAAAUAUUGGCGAGAGACCGAUAGCGAACAAGUACCGUGAGGGAAAGAUGAAAAGAACUUUGUAAAGAGAGUUAAACAGUACGUGAAAUUGUCAAAAGGGAAGCGUUUGACACCAGUGUUGUUUUCUCGAAAAUCAAUUAAAAAAAGGUGGGAUUUUGUGUUGUAUUGACCUUAUCAGCUUUCUGCACUCUUUUUCUAGUCUUUUUUAAUGCACUUUUCGUUUAACAAGUCAACAUCAAUUUCUUUUGUUGUAAAAGGGUCAUUGGAAGGUGGCUUUCUCUUCGGAGAAAGUGUUUAUAGCCUUUGAGCUCUAGCAAUCGGAGAGACUGAGGUCUGCAGCGUAGAUCCUUCGGGGUUAGAUACAUUUGUGCUAAGCUACAGCUUUUCAUAGACAACUUGUUGACUAUGAUUAGUCAUUGUAGCUUACCUCGCUUAUGCUAUUUUACCUACGCUUAGGAUGUUGAGCGCAUGUCUCUCUCU